rnacentral:tmRNA from 1 species
GGGGGUGACUGGCUUCGACGGGGUUGGUGAAGCUCUGGUUGCGUGCCCAGGUCCUCGAGCACCUGGUAAAACACUCGGGAAAAUUCCAAUCGCGAACAACAACCUCGCGCUCGCCGCCUAACCUUCGGGUUACCGGCAGUGCUCACAAGGCAGCCCGCCCGGGGCGGCAUGUGAGUAUCGAAAAUCUGGGCUAGUCCGACGUCGCGCCUGCGGGCGUUGGGCAAAACUUUAGCAGGCUUGUCUGGACGUGGGCUUUCUGUUGGCCAGCGGACAGAGACCUCAAUCAACAGAAUACGCACGUAGACGCUGGGGUCGAUUCAGUCUCGGACAGGGGUUCGAUUCCCCUCACCUCCACUU